GAUGAACGCUAGCGGCAGGCCUAAUACAUGCAAGUCGAACGAUAUUAAGGGGCUUGCUCCUUAAGAAAGUGGCGCACGGGUGCGUAACGCGUAUGCAACCUACCUUAAUCAGGGGAAUAGCCCGAAGAAAUUCGGAUUAACACCGCAUAAAAACACAGGAUAGCAUUAUCCAAUGUUCAAAUAUUUAUAGGAUUAAGAUGGGCAUGCGUGUCAUUAGCUAGUUGGCGGGGUAACGGCCCACCAAGGCGACGAUGACUAGGGGAUCUGAGAGGAUGACCCCCCACACUGGUACUGAGACACGGACCAGACUCCUACGGGAGGCAGCAGUAAGGAAUAUUGGUCAAUGGAGGCAACUCUGAACCAGCCAUGCCGCGUGCAGGAAGACUGCCCUAUGGGUUGUAAACUGCUUUUAUCCGGGAAUAAACCUUUCUACGUGUAGGAAGCUGAAUGUACCGGAAGAAUAAGGAUCGGCUGACUCCGUGCCGGCCGCCGCAGUAAGAC
rnacentral:rRNA from 1 species